AUUCUGUUGUGGGCAUCAUGAACUCAUCAGAGAGCAGUGGAUUACUUCUUGGUUUUGAUGAAGCUGAUAUGGCUGGGCUCAUGAGCCCUCAUCACUUCGCCAGAAUGCUUUCUGAUGAUCUCAGUUCCGUCACUAAAGGGACCAACCAGGGAGGCAAACCAGCCGUCCAGUGUCCUCAAAGUCAAAACGGACCCUACAGUUCUUGCCUCUUCCCUUCCAAC